UACGUAGGGUGCAAGCGUUGUCCGGAAUUACUGGGCGUAAAGGGUUCGUAGGUGGCUCGCUAAGCCAGACGUGAAAUCCCUCAGCUUAACUGGGGAACUGCGUCUGGGACUGGAGAGCUGGAGUGCAGGAGAGGAAUGCGGAAUUCCAGGUGUAGCGGUGAAAUGCGUAGAUAUCUGGAGGAACACCGGUGGCGAAGGCGGCAUUCUGGACUGCAACUGACACUGAGGAACGAAAGCCAGGGGAGCAAACGGG
rnacentral:rRNA from 1 species